rnacentral:lncRNA from 1 species
AUGGUUUUCUUAUCUUGCCCAACCCAUUUCUCCUCUUUCUUAGGCUCUUUCUCUUUUUCCAUGGGCUGUUUCUUUUCUUUUGGGGACACUUCCUUAAUUUCCUCCUUCUUUUUCUCCUCUUUCUUAGCCUGUUUCUCUUUUUGCAUGGCCUGUUUCCUUUCUUUUGGGGUCACUUCCUCAAUUUCCUCCUUCUUUUUCUCCUCUUUCUUAGCCUGUUUCUCUUUUUGCAUGGCCUGUUUCCUUUCUUUUGGGGUCACUUCCUCAAUUUCCUCCUUCUUUUUCUCCUCUUUCUUAGCCUGUUUCUCUUUUUGCAUGGCCUGUUUCCUUUCUUUUGGGGUCACUUCCUCAAUUUCCUCCUUCUUUUUCUCCUCUUUCUUAGCCUGUUUCUCUUUUUGCAUGGCCUGUUUCCUUUCUUUUGAGGUCACUUCCUCAAUUUCCUCCUUCUUUUUCUCCUCUUUCUUAGCCUGUUUCUCUUUUUGCAUGGCCUGUUUCCUUUCUUUUGGGGUCACUUCCUCAAUUUCCUCCUUCUUUUUCUCCUCUUUCUUAGCCUGUUUCUCUUUUUGCAUGGCCUGUUUCCUUUCUUUUGGGGUCACUUCCUCAAUUUCCUCCUUCUUUUUCUCCUCUUUCUUAGCCUGUUUCUCUUUUUGCAUGGCCUGUUUCCUUUCUUUUGGGGUCACUUCCUCAAUUUCCUCCUUCUUUUUCUCCUCUUUCUUAGCCUGUUUCUCUUUUUGCAUGGCCUGUUUCCUUUCUUUUGGGGUCACUUCCUCAAUUUCCUCCUUCUUUUUCUCCUCUUUCUUAGCCUGUUUCUCUUUUUGCAUGGCCUGUUUCCUUUCUUUUGGGGUCACUUCCUCAAUUUCCUCCUUCUUUUUCUCCUCUUUCUUAGCCUGUUUCUCUUUUUCCAUGGCCUGUUUCUUUUCUUUUGGGGGCACUUCCUCAAUUUCCUCCUUCUUUUUCUCCUCUUUCUUAGCCGGUUUCCCUUUUUCCAUGGCCUGUUUCUUUUCUUUUGGGGACACUUCCUCAAUUUCCUCCUUCUUUUUCUCCUCUUUCUUAGGCUCUUUCUCUUUUUCCAUGGGCUGUUUCUUUUCUUUUGGGGACACUUCCUUAAUUUCCUCCUUCUUUUUCUCCUCUUUCUUAGCCUGUUUCUCUUUUUCCAUGGCCUGUUUCUUUUCUUUUGGAGACACUUCCUCAAUCUCCUUCUUUUUUUCUUCUUCUGGGACCAGUUUCAUUUUUUCUCUGCCCUGUUUUUUCCCCUCAGCCUCUUUCUCCACUUUUUGA